UGUUGAAAAUUUCAUCCAUUUUUAGUAUUAAAAACUGUCAUGGAUGAUAAAAUAACCAAACAGUUACACAUAGUGUGCCAUAUAUACCUUAUGCUGAAGUAUAGGAUCAAUUUUUAAUAGAAAAAAUAGAUGAUAUUUUUAACA
rfam:Gossypium arboreum cultivar AKA8401 contig_25568_1, whole genome shotgun sequence.